AUUUACCGGCGUCAUUGGACUGACACGAUUCCAUCGUAUUAGUAAACAAAUUAUUUAAAUUUGAUCUUACUUUCCUUUUUUCAUAUAAUUGACAAUUAAUGUUUAAAAAACUUUAGGAAAAAUUUCACGUUUUUGAAAUUAAUCAUUGUAUUUGCUCUUCUGGGAUUUUUAAAAUUAGAUAAAACAACCCUGUUAUGAUAAUAUAUUAAUAAUAUACAGUUUGUAAUUGAUAUGAUUAAUUAGUUUAUUUUAAUGAAAUCCCUAUUGUCGUAUUAUUGAUAUUUCUCUGGAUUAGAUUUAUCAACGAACACUGGAGCUACAACUUAGUAAAAUUGUUUUGAACGUCUUCUCAAAAUGGAUAGCAGACAAGCUGCUAAGGUGUAAUGCACU
rnacentral:rRNA from 1 species